UAUAAUGUGGGAAUCUGCCUUUUGGUUUGGAAUAACACGGGGAAACUUGUGCUAAUACCGAAUAAGCCCUUACGGGGAAAGUUUUAACGCCGAAAGAUGAGCCCGCACUUGAUUAGCUAGUUGGUAAGGUAAAAGCUUACCAAGGCAAUGAUCAAUAGCUGUUCUUAGAGGAAGACCAGCCACAUUGGGACUGAGACACGGCCCAGACUCCUACGGGAGGCAGCAGUGGGGAAUCUUGCACAAUGGGGGAAACCCUGAUGCAGCGAUGCCGCGUGAGUGAAGAAGGCCUUUGGGUUGUAAAACUCUUUCGUCGGGGAAGAAAAUGACUGUACCCGAAUAAGGAGGUCCGGCUAACUUCGUGCCAGCAGCCGCGGUAAUACGAAGGGACCUAGCGUAGUUCGGAAUUACUGGGCUUAAAGAGCUCGUAGGUGGUUAAAAAAGUUGAUGGUGAAAUCCCAAGGCUCAACCUUGGAACUGCCAUCAAAACUUUUUAGCUAGAGUGUGAUAGAGGUAAGUGGAAUUUCUAGUGUAGAGGUGAAAUUCGUAGAUAUUAGAAAGAACACCAAAUGCGAAGGCAACUUACUGGGUCACUACUGACACUGAGGAGCGAAAGCAUGGGUAGCGAAGAGGAUUAGAUACCCUCGUAGUCCAUGCCGUAAACGAUGUGUGCUAGACGUUGGAAAUAUAUUUUUUCAGUGUCGCAGCGAAAGCAUUAAGCACACCGCCCUGGGGGAGUACGACCGCAAGGUUAAAACUCAAA
rnacentral:rRNA from 1 species